UGCGAGCGUAGUUCAACGGUAGAACGUGUCCACUCCAAAUAGAGUUCCCCUGCUCUUAACACCUACUAUGCAGGUUCGACUCCUGCCGCUCGCAU
rnacentral:tRNA from 2 species